AUGGCGACCAAGGUGGUGGACCUGCGCUCCGACACGGUGACCAAGCCGUCGGAGGCCAUGCGGGCGGCCAUGGCCGCGGCGGACGUGGACGACGACGUGCUGGGCGCCGACCCGACGGCCUGCCGCUUCGAGGCGGAGAUGGCGCGGAUCAUGGGCAAGGAGGCUGCCCUGUUCGUCCCCUCGGGCACCAUGGCCAACCUCAUCUCCGUCCUCGCGCACUGCGACGCCAGGGGCAGCGAGGUCAUCCUCGGCGACGACUCCCACAUCCACGUCUACGAGCACGGCGGCAUCUCCACCCUCGGCGGCGUCCACCCCAGGACCGUCCCCAACAACCCCGACGGCACCAUGGACGUCGACAGGAUCGUCGCCGCCAUCCGGAGCACGGACGGGGCGCUCUACUACCCCACCACCAGGCUCAUCUGCUUGGAGAACACCCAUGGAAAUUCUGGUGGGAAGUGUCUGACUGUAGAAUACACUGACAAGGUUGGGGAAGUUGCAAAGGCUCAUGGCCUGAAGCUUCAUAUCGACGGAGCUCGUAUCUUCAAUGCUUCCGUGGCACUUGGAGUUCCCGUCGACAGACUCGUGAGAGCUGCGGAUUCAGUUUCGGUAUGCCUGUCGAAAGGGAUAGGUGCUCCUGUUGGAUCAGUUAUUGUUGGCUCCAAGGCCUUCAUACAAAAGGCUAAAAUUCUUAGGAAGACGCUAGGUGGUGGAAUGAGGCAGGUAGGAGUCCUUUGUGCUGCUGCUGAAGUCGGUGUUCGCGACACCUUAGGCAAGCUUGCCGAUGACCAUCGGAAGGCUAAAGUUUUAGCAGAUGGACUGAAGAAAAUCAAACAUUUCACAGUUGAUUUGACUUCAGUGGAGACCAAUAUGGUGUUCUUUGAUAUGGCGGAUCCGCGCAUAACACCUGCCAAACUGUGUCAAGCCCUGAAACAGCGCAGUGUGCUUGCAAUGCCAACAAGCUCCAAGAGCGUCAGAUUCGUCGUCCACUACCAAAUUUCAGACGGCGACAUCCAGUAUACUUUAAAAUGUAUCGAGGAAGCCGUGGAGGAAAUGCUGGCAUGCGACGCCAAAUCGGAGCGUUGUUCGACCAACGGCACUAGCUAG
rnacentral:rRNA from 1 species